CCUACGGGUGGCAGCAGUGGGGAAUAUUGGGCAAUGGAGGCAACUCUGACCCAGCAACGCCGCGUGAAUGAUGAAGGUCUUCGGAUUGUAAAGUUCUGUGAUGGGGGAUGAACACAAUGACGGUACCCCAAUAGCAAGCCACGGCUAACUACGUGCCAGCAGCCGCGGUAAUACGUAGGUGGCAAGCUUUAUCCGGAAUGACUGGGCGGAAGGGGUGUGUAGGUGGGUUAGUAAGUUGGCGGUGUAAUUCCGGGGCUCAAGGGCGGAGCUACCGACAAAACUAGUAGACUAGAGUGCAGGUGCGGUAAGUGGAAUUUCGAGUGUAGCGGUAGAAUGCAUAUAUAUU
rnacentral:rRNA from 1 species